CGACAUUAAUAUAGAUUGGUAUUUUCUGUAUAUGGGUCAAAUGUCAUUAAUGUAACCGGGUUUAUGAACAUGGCGGCCCGGUGUCUACAUGUCGGUUGGGUCGUAGAGCGCAGAGAACGGCACACAAUGAGAACACGCUAGACAACCGCGUGCUUUGAACACAAAGACACGUGCUUGAGUCUCGGCGUCGCUAUGGAAACGCGACGGCGCGCAUUCUCUGCCACGGCUGGGCUCGUUGGCUGCUUUAGGGCACCUCCCCUCAAAACGCGCCGUUUUUUGUUUUUUUUUGACAACUUGUCACGCGCUUUCAAAUCGGCACCAGGAAGUAAAAAGCUGCGAGCAGGUCUGUGUUUACAGCUCCGGUUCCCGGGACCCAGUUCCUCCAACGCUCCGCAGCCUCGCGGCCGCUCGCCGGGCCUCCGUCGUCGUCUUUGUGUCCUCUCCACCGCCACGACUCCAGGAAUGAAUUAUAAAACAGCAAUACGAACCGAGCGAGCGCACCACAACGUUGACACAAGCGCGUGUAGAGCCCAGCACACCACUCGUCCCCUCGUGCCCACAACUGGAGAAGGGUUAGUUUACAUUAAAAAUUAAUGUCCCAUUAUGCCCCCAGGGCCACUGCUGCUAACCUUGGUCCAGAUACAGGCGGCGCCGUGUCCUCGGGGAAGGACCCGUGCCACCUGGAGUUACUGGGCUGACCCAAAUCUGGGGCAGCAGCGGUGGAGUCUGCUGUGACUCACCUCUAUAGAGCUACAGCAGCCAGACGACCUGCUAUUGUGUUUAAGUGUAGUGUAAGAAAGUCCUGGCUGCAGAAGCAACGCUGGCCUUAUCAUACACUGCUCCAGUUGCGUUACAGGGUGUAAUAGCAGUUGGAGAUUCUGAAUGAAAAUGAGAAUCACAUUCGCUCAAGUUGAGAAUGGCGAAGAUGCGGGGGAAUGAUAAUGUAUAAGAGUUUCUUAUUUCCUCUGGUAAGCACUGAAGUGGAUAAUUAAAUGUAAACUGCCCAGUAUAAUUUGUCAUGUCACGUGAAGGACCCAAGGCGUUUUCACAGUGAGCAGAUGCUACUCAGCACUUCUCCAGCACAUUCUUUCAUAUGGGUCGCACUUUCCUUCGCUGUUGUCCGUGCCAGAUGGCUAAGUUAGAGGGCUUUGCCUUUCAAAACCACCUUUGUGCACGUUUUAAUAGCUUCAAACCGAACGUUAAUGAGAGCUCAGAACAUACAGCUGUUUCCCAGGUGCCUUUGAGCAAAAGGUUAACCCCCCUCCCCUUCUGCUUGUAAUAUUGACUUCACUGUAAUCGAAUGGGUGAAAGUGUGGAGGAAGAAGACUAUAAAGAUCUAAAACAUGCAAGUUACAGUACACACAUCUAAUGUUAAUUUACUUUUUAUCAAUACAGAUCAAACCUGGUCCAGUGCGACAAAAAAGGUUAAAAAUUGAUUUUGUAGUAAAAUUAGAAUUGUAGAAUUUUGGUGGAUGAUGUCAAGAAGGAAAUUCAUUUAAAUGGGAGGGGAGGCGCUGAUUGCAGGAGGAAACAGGUCCAUUGUACUGUGAGAAGCAAGCAGGCUCAAUUCCUUAAUUACACUUUUAACAGACUGAUUAGCAAAUUAGGAGUAAACAAGGUGAACGGCUUAUUUGCAUGACUCAGUUUGUAAAUUACAUGAUUUGUUUAAAUGUUCCCUCAUUUUUCAAAUCAAAAAUAUUUGGUUAUUGUGAAUGUAACUAGGACUGAAAGACAUUUGGCAUAAUUUAUAUCUAAGAUUGGAUGAAAUUAACAUUUUGCUCACCUGAUUUCAAUGCAAGUACAAAUUAUGAAGAUUGAUGUCACAGAAACACAUUUACAGUACAUUAUAGUACAGUUGUUAUCGAGAAGAAGAACAGUUGUACAGCAAAAUAAAUGCUAAACAAUAAAC